rnacentral:tRNA from 1 species
GGUAAUAUAAUUUAUUUUUAAGAAUAUUUAGUUUGCAUCUAAAAAGAAGUUUAUCUUUUUACCA